ACUGCGGAAACGUCACAGUUGUGGCCUGG
rnacentral:piRNA from 1 species